AAGAUAAUUGCUGAGAAAUGGAGAAGAUGCAAUGUCCAUCCCGACUGCUUUUUACAAAAGCAGCAUAAAAAGUCAAACGAGACGAAAAUGA
rnacentral:sRNA from 1 species